rnacentral:lncRNA from 1 species
AACGCGUUCGUUAUACCCCCAAUUAGGUUUGUAUAGGGUCAAUUUAGAUCAAACCCAAACAUUUACAAAAACCCUCUUUUUGAAGCCCUAAAUGCAAUUAUAACAAAAUACUCCAUUUCAUCUCAUAAAUCAUGCAUUAACCAUCUAUUUAGCAUCCUAGGAUUCCACUAAAUCCAUUCUUAGAGCAUAUAACCAUAGCCAUGAAGAUCUACCAUUUGAGCUUCAAGAAGCUUACCUCAUCUAAGCUUCAAACUCAAGGAAGAAGAUGAAGAGGAUGAAGCUCCAUCUCCUUGUCUCCUUCUCCACCAAUCUCUCCUUCUUUUGAUCCACUUCUAGAGGGAGGGAGAGAGCAUUCUAGAGAGAGGGAGGAGCUGCUCUCUCAAACAUUAUGUGUGUGUGUGUAGUGUGAAAGAGGGAAGAAGAAAAAGCCCCAUACAUUAGCCAACUUCCCCCAAUUUACAAUAUUGCCAUCAGCCCAAACUGGGCAUUUUCGGGCUUCGGGGACCGGUCCUUGCGAUGAGGGACCAGUCCUGAGAGACCGGUCCUUGACUGAGAGACCGGUCCCCGAAGGUCCAGAAAUUAGCCUUCAAGGACUUAGCCAAAUUUUCAGCAUUUUUACCAAUUUUCGUCCGUUUUCGCUCGUUUUCGCUCGUUUGACCUCUGAUUCACUUCAAAUCGAACCGAGACCCUCCAAACAUGUUUUCAAGCAUGUUUUCAUCAUCUUUUCAUCCACGCUAAUGCCAGAUUUAGUCCAUGGUCCAACAUAGCCUUUCGAGUCCCGUUUUCGCGCCCUAUGCGUGCCGAAGCACCCGAAUGCUCCCGAACUUCGCCGGAAUGAUUCCAAUGGCUUUCUAAGCUAACAUACAUCGUAACUUCAUGAAUUAGAAGUUCGGUAUAUUACAUCAGGUAUAUUCGAAGAUUGAUCUUCAGUAGGUCGGGAUACCACUAGUUGAAGAUCAAACCGGAGGAUGUGCAUAAGACGGCUUUUCGUACGCAGUAUGACCAUUACGAGUUCACGGUGAUGCCGUUCGGGCUUAGUAAUGCCCCUGCAGCAUUUAUGGACUUGAUGAAUCGAGUCUUCCGGCCAUUGUUAAAUCGAUGCGUCGUGGUAUUUAUUGACGACCUAUUGUUAAAUCGAGUCUUCCGGCCAUUGAAAAAUUUACAAGUAUAUUAAGUUAUAAGUAUAGUAAACUAUAUAUAACAAAUAUUUAUAAUUAUUUGAUUAAAUUUUUCAAAAUAAUAUUAUAAGAGUUUAUUGAAAUCAGAAAAACUAAAACAAGUAUGUACUAAAGCGUGCAAGUAGAAGGUGAUGUAUAUCCAUCGGCAUGCAAACGUAUCAUGUGUUGACAUAGAAGCGUGUCUGUAAGGAAGUGAAUGCUCGAAAUCCGAGAGUUGGACUUCACUCAGAAUCGACUAAUUGUCGAGUGGGUAUGCUUCGGAAAAAGCCGAAGAAGUCAAAAAUCCAAAAAGUGCAUUACAACAAACCCGCAGAGCAAGUUGUGCAAAAAUCUGCACUUGGCAGAAAUUGCUCUCGGGGACCGGUCUCUGGUGGGAGGGACCUGUCCCCGUAAGCAGAGGGUGCGGCAGGCUCUGCGCACAAGUCUUGCUCUCGGGGGUCCCUCCCUAUGGGAGGGACUGGUCCCCGUAAGCAUGGUGAGUGGCAAAAAAAUGCUGCACACCAAUUUUGCUCUCGGAGACCAGUCCCUGGCGGGGAAGACCGGUCCUCGUACGCGUAGGAGCUGGCUAAGAGAUUCUGCCCGCAAGGGGUGCUCUCGGAGACCGGUCCCUCUAGGGACAGACCAGUCCCCGAGCACGAAAAUUGCCUAGUCUAGACUGUGUGAGAGAAGCAAAGCGGAGGGGUUAUUAUGCAAUUGUUGCAUUAGUUAGGGGUAUAGAGGGGAGAUCACUCUCUCCCUCUCUCAUUUUCUCACCCAAACAUAUCCCCUCUCUCUCUCUAAGCUCUCUCUCCCUCUCUCUUGAAGUGAAGAAGGAGAAGAAGGAAAGGAAAGAGAAGAAGGUGGAGAAGAAAGAGAAGCAAGCUAGAGAAGGGCCUUGGAAAUCCUUUUCUUCCUCUCCUCACCAUUGGAGCAAGCUUGGAGGUAAGCUUUUGAACCUUACCAUGGUAGAACCUAGGGUUUGGGUUUUUAGCUUUAAAAAGGGUUUGAUUCGAACUCUAGUGAGCCUAAUAGAUGCUAAAUGUUAGAAUCUAGAGGUUUGUUGGGGCAUUUUUGCAUAGAUGCAAACCUAGGGCUCCAAAUUGGGGCUUUGUUUAUUAAUGGGGUUUGAUCUCAAUUGAUAGCAUCUAAACCUAAUUGCUAGGUGUCUAAACGCGUUGGCGAAGACGGAUUGACGAUUCGUCGAGUUGUUGGAAAGUUAUCGGCAAAACAAGGCCGAUUGGGCUUCGUUUCCACCUCAGAGGCCGUGACGACAUCAUAGUAAGUGCCGAGAAGCAUUCUUAGAGCCUCGACAUCGUCGAAAGGUGGGUGAUGUCAUCCUGAAGCAACCGGGUUCCUCUCUAUGUCUUAGCACACCAUGAUUUUGCAUCUUUUGCAUAUUGCAUUGUAGGAUUGCAUUGUUUUUCAUUCCUUAUACUUUCUAAUUGAUAUCAUAGUAUGAGUUGAAUGCUUGGUAUAAUGGAUAGAUAAGGAUUGGGUCUUGACAUUAAAUCCUAUAGUGCCGAGGAAAAGAGAUGGACUCGAUGGUUAUCUAGUGACAUAAUGAGUGGCACAUGAUUCAUAAAUGAACAGAACGAGUGGCAUAUAACUUAGUAUAAAGUGACACUAGUGGGUUGUGAACUUAGGGAUAGGUGGAUUCCCUAGUGAUGACUCGUUGAACAAGAACAUAGUGUAGUUAAAUACUUACACAUGGAUAUUGGGAUAGGUGGAUUGCCGAGUGACUAUUAGUCCUAGUUGAUAGGGUAUCCUCGAGUUGAGAGGAUCGGAUCAUACUCACAGUCUGUUUAUACUUGUGGUGGUUGUGCCAUACAAGUUGUCGUGCACUCCAGAGUUAGGCGCGAGAGGGGCAGAGUUGAUGUCCCGCAGACGGUCUCGGGUUUGAGAGCGAGGUGAGUCUCCUUACCAUACGGGAUGGCGAGGUGAGUUGUGGGCGAGCUCGAGGGAUUGCCAAGGAUUGAUUAAACAAGAGAACAGCACUGUUUAUUGAACAUUUGCUUAUUGGACAUUGUUAGUGGACAUAGUGGCAUGUUAGUGAACUCCUUACUAUAUGAUGCAUGCAUACAUUACACAUGAUUAGGGCAUAGUAGCAUAGUUUUUUUACUAUGUCAUUUACAGUUUUUAUAUCUAUCUACCUAUCUAUCUGCUUUUGCCCACUCGGACCUAGUGGGUAGAUCAGCGGAGUCGGCGGCCGAAUCCACUGGGAACUUUGGAUAAUAGUUCUCACCCCACUUUGCUGCAGGGCCUAGUACGAGUACGCCGGGCGAGGACCGCGGCAAGGGCAUCGCGCCGGAGCAAUAGUUACAUAGUAGCUUUCCAUUUUGCAUUAGUAUCACCCUAUGUAUAUAAAUGAUUUAUGUUGGUGAGGAUGUGGAGAGCUAUGUGCAUGUAUUUUGGUGAUGAUCUAGCAAACAUGUAUCCAUUUUGGAAAGGUGUAAAUGUAACUUGAGGUAAAUGAAUGCAAUGUGAUGUAAUAGCUAGUAGAUCUCUCUUUUGUUCACUUGUAUGUACUCGUGACUCUUGCUUAUAGUUGUUGGCACUUGUUGUGUCCUUCUUUGAUUGUGUAUGUAUAGAAUUUCAUUUUUUGGGCAAAUUCUUGUACACAAUCUAGUUGUUUAGCCUUGGGCAGACAGGGGAGGUGCUGUCCGUUCGGCGUCUGUUCGACGCGUCCGAACCUGACCAAAUUGGUAGCGGUCUCGGGGCGUGACAGUGUCGGUGCCAUACCGUACUAAACAAACAGCAGCACGACCCCAUGCCAUAGCACUUUAAACCUUGAUCCGUAGAAGAAUACAAAGCACAAAACCUGCUUCAUGUGGAGGAAGGAAAGAAAGGCCGCACAAACAAACUCUGAGGCAAAAAUAAUUGGAAAUAGCCACCAUUUUUCUAACUCGCAGCGCCUGCAUCGACAAACUUAUACAAGAUCUCUCAAUCACUGCGUUCUUGUCUUCUCACUACUUUGCUUAGGAACUAAGGUUGAUAAGUGUUGAGUAUAGUAUAGCAUGAAAAAUGAGAAAAGUAAUAAAUAGUCGUAUUUUAUGGAUAUAAAGGAAUAGCAUUUAACGAGUUAUUCUUAAAUAAUAUGAAAUAACUCCAUAGAAAGGAAUAGCAUUUAACGAGUUAUUCUUAAAUAAUAUGAAAUAACUCACUUUAACGAAAAUAAAUUAUUCCAAGUCAAAUUUAACUAUAUUCAUUCAGCAUAACAUAUGAGACAAAAAUAUAUUUUCUUCUACAAUAAUAUUUCUUAGUUAUUUUAUUACCAAACACAUGAUUAUAUACAAAUGCUCAUAAAUUUAAUUUUGCUUCUUGAAUAAUUAUUAUUUUCAUAAAUUUAAGUGAGUGUUUGAUUUCUCAAAACAUAUUCUAGGAAAAAAAGUUUUUAGUUAGAAAAUUAUUUUUUUAUUUGUUUGGUUACAAAAAAAAUAAUUUUUUUUAAAAAAACUUUUCCCAAUUUGAAUGACAAAUUUAUACUUCUCUUUUUUAAAAAAUUUUAUUAGGUUAUAGAAAAACAUGUGAAAAGAAAUAUUUUUUGUGAAUAUUUUUUGAAAAAAGUAAUUUUCAUCUUUUUUUUUACAAACAAUUAAAGGUCACUGAGGUUUCGUUUGAUUCGAGUAUAAGUAAAAACUGUUUUAUUCAAUGAUAGGUAUAAGUUCAGGUAUAAGCGAGAAUUAAAAAAAUUUUGUGUUUGGAUGAAAAUUAGAUUGUUUCCAGGAAUAAGAAAGAUAGCAUUUGAAUAGAUAAGAUGAAAUAAGAAAUAUAAUGGAUAGUUAUAAAUUAAAAAAUAUAUAUAUUACCCCUCUCGUUAUAUUUGGAUUUUAAAUUCUUAAAUUUUGCAUUUAUAAUUUUAAAUUUAAAUUUUUAAUUUUUAAAUUUUAAAGUUUGAAAAUAAAAUUUAAAAUUUAAAUCUUCAAAUUUUUAAUUUUAAAAAUUUAAAUUUUAAAUUUAAGAUCAAAUUUAAAUUUUAAAAUUUAAAUUUAAAUUUAAAUUUAAAUUUUAAAAAUUAAAAAUUUUAAAUACCAAAAUUAAAAUUUAAACUUUAAAAUUUAGAAUUAUAAAUUAUAAAUUUUAAUUUUAAAAUUAUAAAUUUAAAAUUUUAAAAAUUUUAAUUCUAAUUUAAAACAUAUCUCUCUCAAUACCACGGAAACAAAGGGGUGGGAACAAGCUUGUUCCCACCCUUGUUUCCACCCAAUAUUGAAUUGUGCCGGUAUGACCAGGUAAGAUAAGAAUAAUAGCUUUCACCCCCAACUUUUUGUUUGGAUACAAAAGGGAAGGAUAAGAACUUAUUUCCCCUCUUACAACCAAUCCAAACGGUGUGUGAGGGUACCCAAAGCAAUGUCGUAUCUCAACCGCUCGAUGAGCACCACAGAGCCGCACAAAUCCCCGUAGCCGCACACAUCGCGGUAGAAACGACGUAAAUAAAAUAAUAAUGUGGUGGUGAAGCGGAUAAGGGCGGAUAUCGAAUCCCAACCGUCCGUGGCCCCUUCUCGCGAAUUCGAAUUUCGAACCUCCAACGGCUACUUCACUUCCAUCCUAAUACCCUAUCCAUCCACUCCCGCCCCUCCCCUCCCCUAUAUAUAUCAUCAUCAACAACAACAAACCCUAUCUUCCCCAAACCCUAGAAUCUAGCGGCGGCCAUGGCCAAGAAGAAGCACUCCACCGCGUCUACCACCGCCACAGCCACAACCACGGUGGCGGCGGCGGAGCCGAGGAAGGAACGGUCGGCGCCUGCGCCGGCGCCGGCGAGGGAUCCAUCGCCGGAGAAGGUGGAGAGCCUGAAGUCGCUGAACCACUUGCUCCUGAAGGAGACGGUGGAGCGGCGGGAGCAGGUGAGCCAGCUCCGCUCCCGCAUCGACGACCUCGCCUUCGACCACUCCUUCCUCUCCGCCGCCGAGCGCGACGUCGCCGGCCUCGUCCUCGCCUCCUACCUCGCCGACCUCCGCAGCCUCGCCGCCGCAAGGGAGCUCUCCGCCGACGCGAAGGCGCGGGACCUCGAAUCGACCCUCGCGUCCGUGGCCGUCCACAAGGAGGAGGCGAGAUCUCUCCAAGAGACCGCGAAUUCCUUAUCCGAAUCUCUAAAACGGGCCGAUGAGAAGUUAAAUCUUGCGGCGCGCGACAAGGAAGCGGUCCAGAACCAUCUAGAUUCGGUCCUCUCGGAGAGGGAUUCCAUCCGGAAGGAUCUUGAUAGCACGGGGAACGCGCUCGUCGAUCUCGAGUCCCGAGUUCGCGAGUUGGAGAUUUCGAACUCGGAGAUCGAAGAAACCCUCGGGCGAGUACGGAUGAAGAACGACGAAUUAUCGGAAUUGGUAAAGCGGAGAGAAGAAGCCCUUCAACUCUUGAUUCGCGAAAAGAACGCUAUAGAGGUAAAACUUGAAGAGCAGCGGAGAUCGGUCGCGAGCGUCGAGAAGAACGCGGAGGAAAGGGUGAGAGAGAAGCAAAUAGAAGUGGAGUCGCUGGCGGCCGAGAAGAAGGCGUUAGAGGCGAAGAUUUCGGCCUUGGAGGAGAGGUAUUGCUGCGUCGCUGAGAAGAACGAACAAUUACAAGACGAGGUUCAUGCGUUGAAGGAGGCCGUGAAUUUCCUCAAGGAGGAGGCGGCGGCGGAAGUGCAGAGCAAAUUAACCGAGAUUAGGGAGAGCCAUUCGAAGCUCGGCGACGAGCACGAAAGGCUUGUGAUGGAGUUUAGUUGUUUGGAGAAGGAGAAGGAAGAAAUUCAGCUUCGUUUUGAGGCGGAGAAGAUCGAAGCUUCGAGAGAGUUUGGACGUCUAAGACGCAUGCUGGAGGAUAUUCAAGAGGAGAAGGUCUUGAUUGAUGGUGUGAGGUCCGAGAAGGAGGCUGAAGUUAGUGAUCUAAAGAAUGAGCUUGCAAAGCUUCAAUCAGAUGUGUUGGACUUGCAGGAGAAGUGUAGAGAUUACGGCGAAACGAAUAAUAACUUGAGAGCUGACAGGGAUUCUAUUCAGAAGGCGCUCGAUCUCGAGAAGUCGGUAGCCAGUGAGCUGAAAUCACAGGUCGAGGAGCUAAAGAUGAUUAAAGAUGAGAAAGAACGAGAGCUUCGGGACGCUAAAACCGACAUGGAGGGGGAGGCGGAGAAAAUUGAGGGGUUGAGUCGGGAGCUUGAACUCCUGCAGCUUGCGCUGGUGGAAGCAGAGAGGAAGAAGGGAGGGGUUCGGACCUGGCUGUACCCAGCAACCACGGCAGCUUUUGCCGCGAUAUCCUUUGCCUGCGCAACAAGGGGGCGUUGAUCCUCCGUGUUUCUUGUCAGCUUUCUUUUCCUUUUUUUUACGGGACACAGUUUACUAUAUGCCUUGAUGAUACAGCAACUCGAUCAAAGUUUUGGGUUGCGGUUAGCUUUUGACGUCACCACCACGAUGGAUCAUUGUUGAUCUUUUAAUAUUUGAUUUUUCUUAUCUUGGCUAUUCAACUUCUUUUUGCCCCUUCUCUCGAUCAAACUUUUUAUAGUAAUUAGAAAGUUACGAGAUUAGACUCUUGAUAUUUAGUAAUUGCAUUCAUGUUACUCUAUUUUAUGCUCUUUCGAUCAUAAUGUCACCAAACUGAGAAUUGGUAUUUCAUUGUCAUGAUGUCCCAUUCCACUUCAAUUUCUAUAAUAAUAAUUAUUCAGUCACUCGAGUUCUACUUCAGUCUCACAUGUAUGAGCAUGAAUAAUCGCCGAUCCUUUGCUCUGCCUAUUGAAUAGAGAAGUGCAUUAAUUCUUUCUUUUACCAUGCAAUCUGUUUCAAGGUUCUCAGCAGAACCUAGUGAAAUUGCUUUGUCAAAUCAACUCAUCGUGUCUAAUGCGCUCAUCUUCCACUAUUAUUAGUAGUCUUAUAAAGGGACAUGUACACUUACCCGGCACGCAUGAUGAAAUGCGUAACUUAAUGUCCUAGUAAUUGUAUACCAUGUAGAGUGAAUGUUUCUUUUAUGCUUUUAAUGUUUGAACUUUAGAUGCCAUGGUUUAAUUUUCUCUGAUGUUUCUUGUGGAUGAGAAUUUGUUCAUUUGGGUGUGAAAGGAGUAUGUUAGUUUGAUUACCUAUUGUAACAUGACUAGCCUUGGAUCCCUUGUUUGAGUGUAUCUAUUUCCUUUCCUUCUAGUGCUGCUUUAGUAGCUCAUGUUUGUCUUGGGUAGUGUAGUUUGCCGAAUUUCCAAUAACUUUAGCAAACUACUGGGGAUGCAACUAUCAAUUGAAGAUGGUGAAGCCGGUUCAACGAUGGAAAAGAGGAGACUUUACUAUUUGUAUGUCAAGUAUACUUAGAUUAAAAGUACUAUUUGCAUAUCAAAAGUUGCUGCUAUUUCUGUUAAAUAUAAAAAUAUAAAAAUAUCGUUCUCUAGUAGCUUAAGUUUUUAUAGAAAAUAACGGUUGUUUCAUAUGAUUUAAUAUAGUAUCAGAGUAGGAGAUCCUAAAUUCGAAUCACGCCAGGCUCUUACCAUAAUUGAUUUUCUCUCAUUUAAUUUAAGCCCAUGUCAUGGAUCUAUUAAAAGUCUUGAUCCCAGACGUGAAGAAGACUGUUAAAUUUAAAAAUAUAACGGUUGUUUCAUAUUAUUUAGUAAUUUCUGCUCGUUUGUUAUCUCAUGAGGUAUUGUAGACCUACAAAAAAAAAAAACUUGAAGAAAAAGUAUUUGUUCAUUUUUUUUUGUUACAGUACUAAUAAGUAAAUACGUCGCCUAAGCUUUUUGUUAUUGUUAGGUUUGUUUUAGGCAAAGUUGUAUGUCCAUCGAGAGACCCUGUACAAAAACAAUUUCUUGUAGAUCCUUGCAACUCUUCUUUGACUUGGUAUCAGGUUUGGUACUCAAUACCGUGAUUUAUUUGUGACCUUAAAAGGAGUUUUUGAAGUUAUAGACGAAUUGCGCCAAGAUGUUGAAAUAUCAAAGAAGGUUCACGACAUGUAAGGACGAGCUUUAAACUAUGAAAAUACUAAUGUAAGUGGGUAUGUGGGGAUAGUCGAUGAUCUUGUAUUACUAAGCCUUGUCAUGUUGAUGACAUGUUUAAGUUUUAGGGCACAUUUGUUAUACGAGUGAAAAGGGUGAAAUGUUAUUCUUGUAAAUUUUCACUCUCUAUUAAUUACAUUUGGUAUGUCGAGGUUAACUUUUAAGGUGAAAUUCUUUUACACCGAACAAUACAAAUUUGUUAAUCUAGGAGGAUUAGGUUAAGAAGAGGUGAAAUAAGUGAAAGAGUUAAUCUAUGAAAAUUUGAUAAAGUUUUUAUCAUUUUUUUGCCAUUGUCUUUGCUCUCUCUUCUUGAUCAUUUUCUCUGUUAAUUUCUCUCCAUUUUGCUCUGUUAUAUUUGGUUUAGAUUUAUAGUUAUCUAAAUUGAAAUUAAAUCCUAAUCUAAUUGGGAUUGGAUAUAAUUUAGAUUUAAUUUGGCAUAUAUGGAUUAUGAGUCGGAAUCUAAUUUCUAAUUGAAUUAGGAUUAGACUCUAUUUAUGAGACAUGUAUUAUAAAUACAUGCUACGGCCGAAUUAAUCUUGCUGCGACCAAAAUUAAGGCCAUGCAACCCUCUAAUUAAUUAGCCAAACGUUGCCUUUCCUUUUGUUGGUGUUCGGUGCUGGUGGUGGUCGGUGCUAAAUUAAUUAAGCCAAGUCAUGCACCUUGGUUCCGUACGGUCAAGCAUCCGCGGCGAUUCUAAUUUAGCCAUGCACCCAAGAUUCAAGCUAAUUAAUUAAGUGGCAUGUUGGUUUUCCAUACGGGUGAAGGAGCCGAGCCGUUUUCUUGGAGUUGCUUGUUGCGGCGUUUCGGAUCUAAUUUUGGUCUUUUGAGAGAUUUUCUUGUACUCCGCCUUUUCGACAUUAAUAAAGUAUUUGCUCCGUCUUCGCCCAUGGACGUAGGCCGUUGGCGGAACCACAUAAAUAUCGGUGUAUUCUUUCCUUAUUUUUUCUUUUCUUGCAUUAAUUUAAUUUCUAGAUCUAUUUUUCGCCGUUCCGAUUUUAACAUGCUCUUUAUUUUUUUCUUCCUUACUUUCUCACUCUUUACUUUCUCUUUUCUUACUUUCUCUUUUGAACUUUUCUCUUCUUAAUUUCUCUCUCCACUUUCUUUCUCCCCAAUUUCUCUCUCACUUUCUAUUUCUUUAGUUUCUCUCUCUUUACUUUCUCUCCUUAAUUUCUCUUUUUAUUUCUCUGUCCGUAAUUUCUCUAUCUUUGCUUUCUCUUUCCUCAAUUUGUCUUUUUUCACUCUCUUAUUAAUCUCUAUUUAUUUUCUCUCUUCUUAAUUCUUUCUCGCACUUUUCUUUAUGAUGCUUUUUUUUAUUUUCUUUUUAAUUUCUCUUUCUUUAUCUUCCUUCGCUUUCUUUCUCCUUUUUUUUUUUCUUUCUUCUCACUUUCUUCCUCAUUAUCUUCUCUCUCAUCGUUCUCUCUUUUGUUGUAACACUCUUUAGUUUCCAUCUUAUUAUUUUCUCUUUCAUGCCUCACUCUAUCUUCGCACUUUCUCUCUCUCAUUAUCUUCUCUCUCCUCACUUAUUCUCUCUUCACUUUUUCUCUUUUCUCUUUCUUUGUUAUAUCUCUCUUCAAUUUCUCUUCUCAUUUCUUUUUGUCACCUUAUCUGUUCUCUCCAUUUGCUCUACUAUUCCUUUAUUCUCUUUUUCACUAUCCUUUUAUUUUUUUUUUUUGCUCUCCUUUUUUUUUGUAUAAAUUGAGUUUUAAAAUCGAGGUUUUAAAAUAAAUUUUCGAGAAGGGUUGACUAGUUUUGUAAAAUUAUAUAGUUUUCAAUGAAACAAAAAUGCCACUCCCUAGGUUUGAUAGUAUAGAAAUUCGUAGAAGUGAUCGUUUUGUGAUUUUUCAUGAUAAAAGUGUGAUUUAUAGAGAAAUAAUGAGAGGGUAAACGAGAUGUUUUGGGCUAUUUUUGUAAAAAGCAUGACAUUUUAUAUGAUAAAUUGCAUGAAAAUCCAUGAAAAAGUUGUAUUGUGUAAAAUACAUGUAUUGGAGAGUUCUUGGUGAGAAACUCAAAGUUUGGAGGACUAAAACAUAAUUGUUACAAAAUAAGAAAAAUACGCACUUUACAAAAUGGUUAUUAUUUUAAGUGCAAAAGGUUGGAAUUUUUUUGCAGCGGAAGACUAUUUUGCGUAGUGGAUUGAGAGAGGAUCAAAUUGGCUUUACAAAAUAACAUUUUCGGAGCCUGAGUUCUAAUUAGUUUGUUCCAAGUCAUGUUUGGGUCACUGAAGAGACGCCACCACCAUUUGGUCAAUAGCGCCAUGUUCAUUGAUUCCAAAUCCUUGACCCCUAAACCUACAUCCUGUUUACUUUUACAUACAGUUUUCCAAUUCACGAGGCAAGCCCCCCCCCCUCCCCUUGACUUUAGAGCUCCCUUUCCAAAAGAAUGCUCUCCUUAAGGCUUCGAUCCAUUGAAGUACCCAUUUGGGGAUUUGUAAAUGGAGAAAAAAGUGUAGCGGCAAGCUAGUGAGAACCGAGUUAACUAGUGUGAGUUAUUUAUAAGGGAUAAUUGCCUAUAUACCCCUUAUACGUUUGAAAAUAUCCGAUUUACCUCUACUUUUUUUUUUCUUUCUAAAAUACCCUUCAUUUGCUCCACUGUUAUUGCAAAAUACCCCCGCAAUUAUCUCCUGUUAAGUUAACUUGGGUUAAACGUAAGUUAAAUAUCUACCACAGUUAAAAAAAAUUUAAAAUGCCAAUUUUGCCCUUAACUUAAGGGCAAAUAAGAAAUGUUGGUGACGGUAGAGGGGUAUAUUUGAAAAGAUCAAAAGUCAAAGAAAAGUCGGUGAUGGUAGAAGAGUAUAUUUAAAAGGGCAAAAUAGUAAUUUCACAGAGAUAAUAGAGUUCAUUAACAGAUUUUAACUCUAUAGGUAUAUCCAAAAGGGUAUUUUCAAUAUUAGCCUUCUAAGAAGGGUAAAUCAAAAAGUCGAAAACUUUUUAGGGGUAUAUAAGCAAUUGCCCCUAUUUAUAAUAAUAUAUAUUAUGUAUUUUAAUUAUAUGUAUAUAGAGUUUUGGUUAUUGGACAUAUUUGCUGGCCCAUAAAACCAAAUCAGCAAAACCCUACUCUAAUUGCUCUCUCUCUCCCUCUCUUUCACUUGCUCGCAUAGUCGCUUUCCCUAAAUUAUUUUUCGUAAUAUUAUAAUACCAUAUUCAUGCAUUUAUUUUGUAUGUUGAACUAUUAGACAUAUUUUUGUAUCAAAUUUUAGAUAAUGUUUUAUAAAAAUUAAACUAUAAAUUGCAUGAUGUUAAGAAUUUCAAGCAGCUUGUUUACAACUCGAGCUCACUCGACUUGAAAUUAGGCUCGCUCGAGCUCAACUCGAAUUAAUUUCAAGCCAAGCUUGAGCCUAAAUUUAGGAUCGAAAUUAAUUUCAAGCCAAGCUUGAGCUGGGACUCAUUUCCACCCCUACGCUUACCCCCAUUUGUCAUACCUAAUAAGUGAACAUCUACAAACUUAAGGAUAUAAGACUCAAACUUCUAUAUAUCAUAAUGUGAUGAUCUAGUCCAUUAGUAUUAGCAAUUUGUUGAAACCAAACCACUAACACAAAAUGCUUAAGACAAAUUAUUAGUACUAGAAUGCUUAGUUCUUAUAUACCAGCACAGAAUUCUUCUCUCAUCCAACAUGGGACUAGGGUUUUAUAUUCUUCCCUCGAUAAAACGCCAACAUCCUCGACGUGGGACUAGGGUUGUAUAUUCUUCCCUGGAUAAAAUGCCAACAUCCUCGUCACGCCCAAUUACAAUACAUCAAGAGGCGACAUGAGAUUUUAAAGAUAGCUCCCACCAUGUUAAUGGUGCAUCAUUUUGACCUACAUAAUACUUAACUCUCGCACUUCUGCCUUGUUUCAAUGUAUGAAUAUUUCAUUCGGAAUACCUUUUUGAUUUGCUCAAAAAGUUUGAAGUACUUAGUAAAUAGAAGGGUGAUUAUAGUCUCGAAUUGAAUAGCAUAUUCAGCCUUCUGUUCAAUUUUUCGAUAUAAGAUAAAUCACCUCGUAGGAAGAUUAUAUUAUCCUUAUCAAAUCAUAAAUAUCAAGACCUUUCAAAGAGAAAAAAAAAAAAAUGAAACUCCUGUCAGCCAAUAACACAAUACAUUUUUCAUAUCAAAUAAAUUAUCUUUGGAUAACUUAUUUCAACGUCUAAACAAAACCCUUGCUACAGACGUACCGUAUAUAACCUUACCUUUGCAUAGAUCUUGAUCACAUAGCAAAAUCUUUCCAUUUAGUCACAACCUUUUCUUUUAUGAAGCAACAAUUGAACAAGAACAUUAGAUUAUGCAAUGCAACUACAAUUAACACUGUGUAGGACAAUAUGUUACAUGUUGGACCCAAUAGCAAUGCCACUUAGAUCUGGUGGAAUAUUUCUGUGUUCUUUUAGAGCCAUUAGACUUAUUUUACAAAGCAAUUUUGCUGACUCGCCGCCUUCUGCAGAAGGACUCGAUUCUGUCGCACGCCUCCUCCAGCAAGCUAGCAGGAACUCCAAAGAAUAUUCUCACCCAAUUCUUUAAUCCAAUGACAGAACCUAAAUUACAUUACGAGCUUCGUGAUCAGCAAAAUGAAAUUGUAGAAUUUGAUCUACCAACUGAUCUUACGAAAAUUAGUUGUUCUGAUCGAACAGAAGUCGAAUUCUAUAAUCCAGGAGUACAUAUAAAACCGUGAUUUAUUCUGCUGCUGCACGAAGCCAUGUGAAUAAUAAAGGACUAUUUCACUGCGAACGAAAGUUUAUUCACUGGUGACAAACAUGUCGAAUGUAAUAACAAUUAGUGACUUCUAUUUGAAUUUUUCACCUGGUAUGUCUGAAAACUUCAGUUCUUGUCUUUUUGUUAUAUUAAAUUUAACAGCCAUUUCAAGUUGUGCUUUGCUGAAACAAGAUAAUUUAUUCACAAUUAUUCAAUCUAUUGUCACCGUCCCCAUGCAACACAUUUUCUCGGCCAUUCGUUACCACUUAAAAUGUUAUCGUUGGCAUUUAAAAAUGCAAACUCAUCGUAGCUCUUCUCCAUUUUUCAACAUGAAAAAGAACAAAAAUUGAGAUAGUAUGUGCAAAAUUACUGGUCAACUAGGGAACUCAUCCUACCUGGUACAACCAAGACAGAUUCUUCUUUAAUCAGCUCUCUUGCAAAGUCCAUGUCAUCCCCUAUGCCAUAUAGAAGCGAUGUGUUGACCUCUACCUAUCAUUUAAUGAUCAAAGCGCUGUCAAACUCGGUAAUACUGGGAUGCAAAAUUUUGCAAUAUGAUGAACGAUGUCUUACCAUCAUGAACAUGGAGCCUUGAGGCCGCGAAUAACAAUGCAGCACAUCAAUUUGCUGUAUUCUUUCGUAAAGGGCAUCUGCUGAAGAUUCGAGUUGCGCAAGGACAUUUUUGUGAAAUUCUUCAUGCGAAUCAGAAAGAAUACUCGGGACAGCUGCCUGUUGUGAAAAGUUACCGAUACGAAUAAGUGUUGAUCUAGCAAAAGGACCAAAAAAAGAAGUAAAAUAUAUGACGACCCUCUCUACCGCAGGCCAUUUUGCAAGAGUCGUUAAUUGCUUUUGUGAUUGGCGCCCCCUUUUAACUUCAAAGUAACUUCUAAUUUACUUCGAUUUAUUUUUCUAGAAUGUAUUAAAUUUAACAGCUUCAUUAGCUAUCAAUUGUUAAUUGUUAACAAAAUUCACAUUUAUCAGUUGAGAGUAUCCAGAACGGUGAAAUAUAACAGCAUUACUUAAUUCAACAAAACGUUAAAUUUGAUUCAUGAAAAUAACUUAAAUCAAAUGAAUCAAGAAUUUAGGGGAUGUUAAUCAAAAGAAAAAUAGCUGAGGUUUUGAUUUCAAAAUGGCCUAGAAUUGAGGGAGUCCUCAUAAAUUUUAAACGAAAAAGAAAGAGUUAUAAGAGGGUCCUGCUAGACCUGAACUAUCGAAGAUGGACCUGAAGUAACAUUCAUGAGCAUCUCAGUAGCCACCCGGACCUUCCAUAAAACAAAAAUGGCAAACAUUCAUGUUAUAAAAGCUAAUAAAUAGGUGAAAGAAAUCAAUAGAAUUAUAGUUUUCACUUCAUCUAUUGAUUCAGAAAAACUCCAUUUCGCUGCAGUGUCACAUAGUGUGAUCAUCAUAGGUCACUUUGUAAGGCUACUAAAUAUGAUGGUCUAGUUUGGUUAUGCUUUGUCCGGAACAGCUGCUUUAAAUGCUUUAAACCUCCAUAAAAAUCAGAAAGCUCUUUAGAGCUUCACGACUAUGAGCUCUAUCACAUAGAGAGUGUGGUGGAACCUUCCAUUGAGAAAGCACCCAUCGGGUGCUUCCUCAACAUAAGGUCCUAACACACUAUCCUUGCGAUGAGCAGCCACAAAGGAGAAAGGGGAUCCGGAAGUAUUUUCGAACUUCUAUGGGGCUCUAAUGUACUGAAAGCAGCUGCAAUAGAUGAAGCAUUCUCAACAAGGCCUACAGACUAUUGUCAGCAGAGAAGGAAAUGUUCUUUAGGUUAUUUAAUUAAUAAUAAAACGAAAAAGUUACAGGAAGAAUACUUAGGGCUCAUUUGGUUAUACUUAUUCUAUAUUUUUCUAAACUCAGGCUCUAUGCAAUUAAAUGUUCCGGCAAAUAAUAGAUUGUUUGCUACAAGUACAUCUAUGGGGGUUUUUUGGCAACAAAAAAAGCCAAAAAUUGGUAGAUAGUUUUUUCACUUUUCUUUCUAUAAAAGAUGAGAAGCCUAUUCAUCAGUGAAUUCAAUUGCAUAAUACAUAAAUUUAAGAGAAAAGGAAACAAUAAAUAUACCAUAGCAAAUGAGGCCUUAGUGUGGACGCUUCUUUUUUUUAUAUAUUUGAAUGGCAGUUGAGGAUGUUAAUACUAAUUGUUAUCAGUUAGCAUAUUCAGAAAUUCAAACUGAACAAGUUGCUAGUUAGACCAAAAUAAGUCCUAGUUUAAAUAAGUUUAGCCGUUAUCAUCGACAGUUUUCUUUUGAAUGAGAAAACCAGCGCAAAGAUGGCCACUAAAACAAGCUUUAAUUACUCACAAUAUAUUAGAAGAAAAAUAUAUAUAUGAAUCAAGAUCUACUUUUUAUAUGAAAUUUUAACCCCUCUAUAAAAUUUGGUCCAAGAUUUUGAAUUGAUACCAUAGUAUAAAUUAGCAAAAGGGAAACUUUUUUUUUUUUAGUAAUUUGGAAAGUCAUAAGAUACAACUGAUUACUGCUAAAUCUCCUAACUGUGAACCUUUGUAAUACAAUGUGAUCAUAUAGAAAGGCUUGAAAAUAUGAAGAUGCUUAAAUUGAUUCAGAGUGAGUUUUAAUGUUUGCUACACAGAUUGCCUAAAACAACAUAAUUGAUAUUGAGGUGUAGUACUUUUAUGGAAUGCUUAAAAUAUUCGGUGAAACAUUGAGAAUCAUAAAAAUAGGAUGUCGGAUAAUUUAAAUAUUUUCAAGGAGAUCAUGUUAUGAGAGUAAGUAUAAAAAUCACCUACAAGAUUACAUUACAAAAUUAAAUAAUCAAAUACUACAAUUGAGAUAUGCCUGCCGUUGUCUUCACAUUUGCAAUCACAUAAGCAUUUUGCGUUUUUUAUUUAUUUGGAAAAUAUCUCGGCAAAAAUAAUUGAAUAAAAACUUUUUUCCCUCUCAAUAGGGAUAGCUAAACCAAACCUUGCAUGCUAAUUUUCAUCUGCUCCUAUCGUUAAGGAAAUAAUCUCUUUUUUGUUUUGUUCUCCUUUUGCACUUCUUGAAUUCUUUUCUUGUCAAAGUGCCCUUAUGUAAGAACCAUGUUGUUAAAAACAACAAUAGAUAUAAGAACCCGACAAAUUGUAAAUAACUUGAUUAUGAAGUCCUACUUUUCGAUAAGACAAACAAUUCCUUCAACAUUAUUGCAUACCUGUGGUUGGAUUUGUUUCUUUUACGUUUCACCAAAUAAGAAUAAACUCCAACAGAAGUUGAAAAGUUACAAAAAUUUACAGGAGAAUAUAGCAUCACAUUUAUCUAUACAAAUGGCAGAAAAAGAAAGUGAAAGCUAUAAAAUGCAUUGGAAGAUUGCCAAAGCUAGAGAAAAGGUGAAAAUGUAGAGCAAAUACUCAUGCUUGAUGUUAGAACUAUAUAAAGGGUCCGACUACUAUACUAUUAUGAGUACGAUCGCCCUCGUACUCAUAAGUUGUUUUCGAUGAUAGAGCUUCCGAAUCGACGAUCCACACCGUUAAACGUUAUUUACAGCAUUUAAAACUUCUAGAAAUUAAAUUUUAUAAUUUUUCGACAUCAUUUACCUUACGAUCAAGAGGUCACAGAUUUGACAAUUUUUAACGGCCGGUAUGGGAUACUUGCUAGUUUAACGGUGUAAAAGAAUUGGAAUUUGUUGAAGUUUUGAUGGAAAAUUCUAUUCACUACAUAGAUAAAGAUCAAUAACUCUGAUCUUGAAUUGAAGGAUCCGAUCAUCCUUUUUUAGGACGUCGUUCGAUUUUGACCGUUCAUUUUAUGCCCACUUGAUAGACUUUAUUAUGAUUUCAAAAAUUUAUGAAAUUUAUUUUCUAGAAGUUUCAAAUACUCUAGAUCAUAUUUAACGGAGUGGAUCGUCGAUUCGGAAGCUCCAUCAUUUGGAAGCUCCAUCAUUAAAAACAACUUAUGAGUACGAGGGCUCCAAUACUCAUAAUAGUAUAGUAGCCAUGGCCCUAUAUAAAAAGUUUUUAGUCUAAAUACCAUGAUGAAAUGUGGUACUAGAUGUUUAGUUGCUCGAAAAGAAAGCUGUUAUAACAAAAUUUGGAAGCGAUUUUAAGACAUGAUUCCUACCGUAAUUCUUGAGAAGACUAAAAAGAUGAACAAUGCAAAACGUCUCCUAAAUCCGCGAGAAUUUGAUGCUUACUUGCUUAAGAGCACCAGUAGGGUCAUACAAGGCUACCCAUCCGAGGCGCCAACCAGGAACCAUCCAGCGUUUCGACAAUGCUCCUAUAGUAAUAAUUGGUGCCAGGUGGGCAAAUGAAGCCAUUGGCAAAAACUUGGCAUCCCCAUAUGUCAUAUCUGCAUAUAUCUCAUCUGCAAUAAUUGGGAGACUUAACUCUCUUGCAGUUUCAGCGAUCUGCAACAGAAAGAAGACCAGAAUGAUACCAUUCAAUCAUCAUUAAUUAAUAAUCUUGAUUGGAUAAAAUAGCAAAUUAAACCAAAAAAAUUUAUUUUCAUCAUUGCUAUUCAAUCAGUUAGAUAAAGUUUAGCUUCAACUUAUGUAUUGUCAAGAAAUAUGAUAUUUGUGAACCUUCUCUCUUUGAAAAACUAGGGAGUCAGCAAUUGUUUUAGAUUAUGGAGUUAUGCUGUUUCUAAUUGAAAUCCAGAUCCUUAUCUUGUAUAUAUUUGCAAACUCAUUCUAAUAAGACAAAAAAAAAAUUUCAGAUACUUCAUUUAUUACAAUUAAUUCAAUAGUAUUAAUUCAAUAGUAGGCUUAGUUACACUUUAAUCAACUGUAUUUUAGGGUUUUUCCUCAUUUGAUACACUAUAUAUUUUUUUUCAAAGAUACCGUCGAACUACAGCUUUCUCAUCAUUCUACUUGAGGGUUAUUUUCAUUGGUACACUAUAUUAUUUUUUUUUAAAAAAAAGACAAUACUAAACUAUCAUUAUCUCGCCAAUCUCUAUACUGCUGUCAACAAACCUACCAUCUCAUACGAAAGCUCACAGCUCUGUUAAGAAACAUUGGUUGGGGGUAGCAGAAAGCAUGAAGGGAAAAGCAAAAUAGGCCUCCUAGAUUGAUCCAUUGAAAGUAAAAUGGGCAACCAAAACACUAUCACAAUAUUAUUCCAAAAAUUCUUUCACAUCCGGCAGCAGGAUAACAAGAACCAAGAGUAUGAUAGUCAGAACAGCUCAAUUAAUACCGCUGCAGGAUAACAAGAACCAAGAGUAUGAUAGUCAGAACAGCUCAAUUAAUACCGCUGCAGGAUAACAAGAACCAAGAGUAUGAUAGUCAGAACAGCUCAAUUAAUACCGCUGCAGGAUAACAAGAACCAAGAGUAUGAUAGUGAGAACAGCUCAAUUAAUACCACUAAACAUUUGAUCUCAUCUAAGAGCCAGCACUUAGCCAACCAGUACAUCCCAUUAAUACAACUAGUGUGGAGAGAUAAAGAACGAGUCAAAUGGACAAAAACGCAGAGGGAGGAGGUAAAUCAAAUUGAAAGACAGGGGGCUAGUACACCAAGCAUAGGGUAUUCAUGCCAAUUUUUGAAAAUGAAUAUGUGCCUUCUGCUGAUCAUCAGCACCUAUCCUGCCAGUAUAUUGAAGGAAUAAAGUUGGCACACGCUCCCCAAAUUCAAGGUAAGAGCACUAAGCUGGGUAUGGAUUCGUAAUUAAUGUAUGUGUAUAGAUGGUUUUCUCGCAUCAGACGGCUUGAAUCUUCGAACAUCGGAGGUGACAGUGUUCAACAAAAACUCAAGCAAGCCUUCUAAAUUUUGGAUGUUUCUUUUAGUUGCGAUUUCUUUAAGCAAUGAUCAUUUAUGUGGUUAUAUUACACAUAAUUCGACUAUAUUCAAAAUGAUCUUAACUAUAUCUCAAAAUGGUUGCACAUGCACCUUCUAAUUAUAUAUACACUACUGUUGGGAUGUUGAUGUACUUCAUCUACAGUUUGUUAUCUAUGCCACUAUAAUGUUUUAUCUAAACCAUAUAAACAAGCCUAUAAACUUAUAGGUAAGCUGCACAAGAACUGGCAUGUGUCGCUACCGCAUACACUAUAUGGUGAUCAUGUCACAUCAUAUUGAAACUUGAUUGACCUACGGUAAGAAAACAUAGAUUUUGUCACUAACAAAAACGAAAUGCUUCGACUGUUUUUUCAAUUUCUGUGUUUUUGUAUCAAGUUUUGAUGGCUUCAGAUGACAAAUUUUCUUAAAAAUUGAAAAUUAAGGAAAAGAAUGCAUGGGAAAUGAAACGAGUAGGUCAAAAAAAAUUCAGGUUAUUUAAUGAAAAUAUAAGAAAAAAUCAGGUACAGUUGGCGGGCAUCAAAGGCUUCCUUGUAACCAUCAAAUAAGGGCAUCCAUGUAGAAUUUUCAACCUCUUGUCAACAAAAAGCUAUGAUGGAAUGGCCCGCAUGAAUCACCAACUUCCGCAUUAUCAAAACCAUUCUCCAAUAAAAUCCCCACUCAAAGGACAAAAUUUAGUAACUAAGCAAUAUAAAUUCCUUCAUAAAAUAUUAAGAAAAACCUCAAUUUCAAAUUUCUAGACUUAAGUUUAGCAUUUGCGCUACUUUUUUUCUUCACACUCUGUGAGACCCCAGAUAGUCCUAUAUAUAAAAUAUAGUAGAACUAAAUCUCUAAACUCAGCUAUAGCAUUUUGGGCAGUGGUUAGGCCCAAGAGAUUAAGAGAGUUAAGUAUGCUAGGACCAGAAUAGUCCUAAAAUAUAACCGCUGGAAAGUAGGGCGUCACAGUUGGUAUCAUAGAUAAUUACCAGCCGGAAAUGUGAGAUGAAUCUCGACUGAGUGAGGAUUAUACAGGGGAGAAAGCGAGGCUCUCAUACUAAUGAUUGUUGUGGGUAGAGCACGUCUACCCCACAAGGUCAGUUAAAGCUAGCGAGAUGAGUCUCACAUCGCCUAAUACUUGUGAGUAUGAGCCUGACGAGGACGUCAGAGCUUAAAGGGGGAGAAAUUGUGAGACCCCAGAUAGUCCUAUAUAUAAGAUAUAGCAAAAUUAAAUCUCUUAAUCUAGUUAUAGCAUUUUGGACGGUGGCUAGGCCCAAGAUGUUAAAAAGUUAAGCAUGCUAGGACUAGAGUAGUCCUAGGAUAGGUGACCCACUGGGAAGUGAGGCGUCACACACUCCCCAUUCACCUUUCAAAUUUGCAGCAAUUCCCACACUUUGCUAAUACAUGGUAAAACUUUAAUUGGAUCAUGAAAAUUUUGUUAGUUACAGCCUUACUCUUCAUCUUGAAACAUACACAACAUUUUAUUUGGCAAGUAACAGGUCCUUGGGUUUCUUUGAUUUAGAAAAGAAAGGAACAAUGAGAAACGAGCACCGGUAAGUUCAAAAUCCAUUCACCUCUCUGCAAAUAUAUUAGGAUCUCCACUUCUAACUAUAGUUCAACCAAAUUGUUAGGAUCUCCAAUUUCUAAUGAUUGUUGUGAUACCAUUUGUUGUCUCUAUUGGACACCAUUUUGCUCCGAGGGAAAGAGAGACCUCAAAUUCUAACUUAACCCAAGCUAGAAGCCAAUAAGAAGAAACUCUUCUUUAUUAAUUAGAUUAAAUGUUGAAUACAAACAGAAGAGGCCUCUCAUUUGUAGGCCUAGAAUUCAUAUAGUAUUCGUAAUAUGGUGAGGAAACAAUGUAAGAAAAGGAUAAAUUAAAGAUACCUCUAAUCUAAUAAGAUAUGCCACAUAAAAUCUCUUUCUAAGCUACUAAUAAAUUAAACACGGGUACGAUUGGUACAUUCUUAAUUAUAUUUGUAAAAUACAGUAUAUAUUACUAUUAAAUAUAUAUAUAUAUAUUAAACACAUUUGUAUCAACAUUUGAUUCCAAAAUAUAAAAAUUUUCUGAAGCAAAAAAGUGAAGUUCAUAGUAUGCUUAUUUUUUAGACCAGUUUGUCCAAAAGAUACUUAUCCUCUUUUUGUGUUUUUUUACUUCUUAUUCUUCUAACUCUGUUUAGGUUUUUUUGUCAACCUAUGCAACCAAUGUCAAGAAUUGAAAAUAUUAUAAUAAAAUAUAGUUACCUAAUUCAUCGUUUUCUAAUUGAUUGACUUUAUGAUGUUUUUUCAGAAUUUAUAAACAUAUUUUUAAUUUUGUAAGAAAUCCCUAACUUUAGCAAAAUUAAAUACCAAACAGUUCCCAAAAGUAUAAAAACGUUGGAAAAAUUAGAUAUAAUUUUUCUAAAAUUAGGACUUGAAAUAGAUAAUUGACAAAAAGUAGGGGAGUACUCCAAUUGGCUUAAUAGUUGGCAGCCAAUGAAGCUAUUAAAUCUAACAAAUCUUCCAAUCAAUUUAGAAAAAUAGCCGUUAAGAGUCUAAUCAUUUAUGUCUUUAUUUGAUUAGCGCUAUUGCCAAUUGUACUUUACUUAUACAGGGUUUAGUUUAACACAACAUGUAUUAUAAGGUGUUUUUUGUAAAUGUGUUCACUAUAUAUUCAAUGGAAAUCCUAAAAGGGGCUUUUACGGUUUUACCCAAUCUUUCAUGAUAUCAGAGCCACAAACCCUCUAGGGAAAAUCAACAGAGUCGUCAUCCUUCUUUCUUCAUUUCCGUCACUAGUUCUCUUCCUCUCUAUUAUUGUUCUACCUUAGUAUUACUGCUAUAGUAUCGCUUCUACAGUAUUUUGUUACAGCACUGCCGCUGCAUAUUUUACUACAGUAUCACCACUACAAUACUUGCUACAGUACCACUGCUACAGUAUGGCACUCUUUCUUCCCUUUACCUUGUAGUGAUCUUGUAGCUACCUAUACUCAUCUAUGUUCUCAAAAUCCUAACUGCGUUUUAGUAGUCGUUGGAUCUGUGGUUAUUACUUGCUAGUUUUCUCGAGGGUAUUCCAUCGCCGCUGUUUUUUUUCUUUAAUUGUUGAUGCCGCUAAGUUACUCGUUCUCUUCAUCUUUAUUUUUCAAUGGCGGCUAACAUUUUUCUACUUGUGGUGAAUAUCAAGACACUUAUUCCUAGAGCUAUCAAACACUACAUACUUGGUCUAAAAACAAGUGUUCCUCAACAUGUUGAAAAGCUUUGAAGUAGCCUCACACUUUGAUGGAACGGAUGUACCACCAUCUUAGACGGUAGAUGUCGACAAAAAGCUUGAACCCAAUCCUAAUUAUUUACAAUGGAAAAGAGAGGAUUCUACAAUCUUCUCAUGGAUCAAUGCAACAAUGUCCCUUUCUAUCAAAUAGUAAUAUCCAGUUAGCCGAAGUCAACUCGCGAAUCUUGAAUCUUCCUUGAAAAUUACUUCUUAGAUAAGACCACCUCUACUGCCUUUUCUCUUAAGGCGGACUUGCAUGGUAUUAAAAAAGGGUCAAUGACUUAUGUCAAAGUAUAUGCAGAAGGUCAAAUCUAUCGGGGACACACUUCUAGCCAUUAGGGAAGGUGAGUCUGAUCACAAUCUCGUGAUGACUGUUUUAUUAGGGCUCCGAAAAAGUAUCGCGGUUUUGUGAGUGCAUUGAAACUCACAGAACCAAACCGACUUUUGAUCAACUUCAUCCUCUUCUGUUGCAAGAAAACAUAGAAGUGCAGUGACCCUCGAGCCAUACUACAUCCUCUUUCGGAGAUUCUAGUGCCCUGCAUGCAAACCAUGGAUGAGGAACAAAGUAAAGCCAGAAUGGUUGAUCUAGAGAAGGAUGAGGAUAGCGAGAUGGUCGUCAUCUAUAGCCUAGGCGUGGACAACAUAAAGCAUCACCAUAUAAAUAUUUUCAACUUAUACAACCUACGCAUCAUCAACAAUACCCACCUAUGCCUCAACAACUUCCUCGGGAUUGUUCGAAACCAAUGAUGCCUCACACUAAAAAUCAGCGUCAAAUUUGUGGUAAAUUCAACCGCACUGCUCGUAAGUGUAGACAGAGAUUCAACUAUACCUUUAGAUAUAUCCAUUAAAAUAAAAUUAUAUUUUUAUAGGAUCUACGAUGUAUUGGAUGCAUUGAAUAUAUAGGCAGGACACACAUCAACAAACGGAGAGUGCUCCACGCCUUUUAGUAUAUAGUAAUAGAUUGCUCAAAAUAAAAUUACAUAGGAAAGUACAACUUUCUAAAACACAUGACAAUAAAGUGAAAAAUCGUCAUACAAUGCAAAGAAAAAUGGAAAUAAAAGGAUAAAAUGUAUAGACACCCCCCAAACUUUCCCGCUUUACCAAAGAGGCCCCUAAACUUUCAAUUUUGAAAAAAAUUCCUCUGAAUUUCACAAUAUUUUGCAAUCUACCCUACCGUUUGCUUGGCAUCAAAAAAGUUAACGGAGAUAGGCAUACACAAUACUCUAAUGUGCUUUCCUCUUUUUCAUCUCCAAAUAGAACUCAAAAUUGAUACAAAAAGAGAAUAGAACAUAUUCCUGAAAAAUACCAGCCCUAACUUCAUUCAUAAUUAAUUGAUCUAAGUCCAUCCCAAGAAUAUUUGCUCCGUAAAACAAAACUUCCAUACAAUGCAUAUAGCGGGGGAAAAAAAAUCGUUAUCAAAUGUUUACUUAUUCCAAACGACACUAAACAAAAGUUUCAUAUCAUCCAUAAGGUUACCUCCAAUCAUUUCACAAAGAAGAAGAGGCUUACAUAUUUUAUAUUCUCCACUGUUUGGCCUAAAAAGCAGACCACAUGAUUGUCAUGUGCCCAUUCCCGUUAAUUCUUCAACGCCAAACGGACGUAACAGUAUAUUGCAAAAUAUAGUGAAGUUCAGAAGGUUAUUUUCCUACAUUCAAAGUUCAGGAGUCUUGUUGCAAAAGCGGUAAACUUUAGGGGGUGUUUGUACAUUUUACCAAAAAAUAAGAAAGAAAAUGCUAAUUAUUCAUCUUACACCUUGGCCACUAAUAAUAAUUAAAAAAAAAUGACAAGACAAGUGAGUUGAUCUCAUCCACCUAAAAGCCAGGGUACAUACCAUACAGCUUGAUCUAGAGUGUAUGGACAGUAUUGUCUAGAAAUUAAAAGCACUGAUACUGAUACACUCCAAAAGGGGAUGUAAAUCUUAUAUCUUUUUAUCGAAGGAUCAAUAUUGAGUCCUUGUCUUAUCAAAAAUAAAUAAAUAAAUACUAAAAAACUAAUAGAUUGUUAAACCCUAAGAUGGGUUUCGUGUGUACCAUUAGCAUUUCUCCAUUCAUACAGGCCCCUGCAAACAUAGUAAAUUGCAAAUAUAUCCCUACAAAGUUUAACUUUCAUAUGUUGUCCCUGCAAAAGUCCUAAUAUUUUCAAAUAUGUCUCUCUGGUUUGUUACCAUUAAACCAUUGUUUAUUUUAUAAGUAAAAUGAUCUUUUUGUCAUCACAAAUAUUCCUUUCAAAAAUUCUAACUGUUAAUUGAAGAGUGAUAAGAAAGUCAAUUCACCUCAUUAACUAACUAGGAUUAAGUAUUUUACCUAUAGUUAACUAAUUUUUUAUAACCGAUCCUAACGACAGGGACAUAUUUAAAAACAUCAGGGCUUUUGGUAACACCCCAUACUUUUAAACCUCUUGUUUUGACUACCGUCCUAUUAAGUUUGGACCUUUUUGUAAAUUCAAAUCUUUGAGGGACUUGGCGGCAUAUUGUUGCCUAAUUAGUCCCUAAUUUAAUUAGUUCCCUUCUAUUCGUUCCUAGCUACCCUCAACCCGAUCUAUUUCUCUCUGUCGCUCGAUCCCUCUCCCCUCCACUUCCGUAUGACCUCCACGGUUCCGCACAUGCGCGCGCGACGCCAUCCGAUCUCUACCAUCGUUGCCAUCAUCCUUAGUCGCAACCAUCACCGCCGCAAUCCUCAUCCAUUGAUAUUUUUGAUUCGUCGUCGUCACUCCGUCUUCAAGAAGGUCUAUUCCUUUUUAUUUCCUCUACAUCUAUUCUUGAUAGGAUCUAAUUCCUUAUUCAUGGUUAUAUGAUUAUUUUGAACACUUAUCUCUUAAUGAUUGGAAUUAAAACUAUUAAAAAUCUAAUUCGCUGUGAUCUUAUUUUUGUCUUUUGAACUUUCUAAUUUUAUAUCUUGUAACCUCUAUAAAAUUUAGUUGUGUAAACCUCGCUCAUUCUACGCAUUUUUGGAAUGCCCGUUAUAUGUUCGAUAAAACCCCUAUGAGAGGGCGAAUUUCUUUUUGUUCCUAAUUUCGAUCCCAUUUGAUUGUAGAUCGUAAAAUUAUAUUUCCAAAUGUGAAAAACCUCUUUUCGAAUACUAAACCUUUCAUUUGUAAUUUCAAGUUCCGUUCAUGUUAUCUUACUCCUUUGAAUAACUUAAUUUUUAAAACUCCAUCCCUUUGAUUGCUAAUUGUGUUUUGUCGAAUUUAAUAUUCUAAAUCCCUUUGUGUUCCUUCCUGACCUAUUUGCCUACCUUUGUAAUUGAGAUUGUCACGAGCCUAUCCGAAUUUAAACCUUGUGUAAACUUGUCUUCUAAAUAUAAUUAUAUCCUCUUUGUAAGUUCAUUUUUUAGUUAGUUUAUAGAGAAUCGCAUGUCUCUAUUUUAGGUUCCGACGAUUGAUUUUCUGCGCAUUUUCGACUGGAUAAUUUCUCAUCUUUAAAGCUACAUUAAAGUAAGUGACUGGACACCCGUUAGUUUUUCGCUAAAUAAUUUAGGAAAACACUUUGAUUGUGUGAAAAUCUUAUUUUGUAGCUUUUAAAAUUAAAGGUUAAACAUAUUAUUAAAUAUUUUUGUAAAUUGAGCUUCAACUGUAAUUAACAAGUUCUUUUAGCAAAAAGAAUUUUUGAAAUUUGGUAAUUUGUUCUGUAAAUUAGUGACUGAAUAAAUUUUGAAUCAUGAUGUCUCUUGGUAUUCUGCUAUGCUAAUGUUGGCUAUGUCAACAUGUAUUUUGUUAUAAAAGCGAGCUUCGUCUUUGUAUUGCGCCUUCGGGUGCCUACGACUAUCCGCGCCUCUGUUCUGUAAUUGUGCUUUCGAGCGCCUCUGUUUUAUACACGCACCUUCGGGUGCCUCUGUUCUGUUUGCACCUUUGGGUGCCUCUGUUCUGUUUGAACGUUCGGGUGCCUUUGGAUCUCACCAACGAAUCAUAUGAUAUAGUUAGUUGCCGGAGACUUAAUAUUUAUUUCGUUUAUUUGCUGAAAGAGAAAUGUUUUGUAAAUUUAUAAUUUCAAUCUGAUCUGAAUUUUAAAUUUUGAUAAUUCUUGUUUUAUGAAAUUUUACAAAUUAAAAACCAGUCACUUGAAUUAAUUUUUGUAUUCAUUUAUUAUUUGUAUUGUAUGCUUAAUCCGACUAAUAUGGUGUAUGGUUGCUUAUCCAAGUACUGAGACUGAUUCGUAAGGCGGGGCCGGGACCGAAUGAACAUUAGACGUAGCCAGUUUUGAUUUUAGCCUCUUUCGUCUUAUGUCUAUUGCAUUUAUAUGUGAAUUUUGGACUUCGUAAAUAAUUAUUUGUUUAUCUGCUUCUACUCUGUUAUUUCUUCGUACCUACAUUUGUUAUUUACAGUACCUGUUAGACCAAAUUUUGUUUGUGUUGCAUAAUAAACUUUAGUUGUGCUUAUAUAGAUAUGCAGCGUCUUUUAUGCCUCAGGUUUGGGGCGUGACACUUUUACAGGAACAAUAUAUGAAAAUUGAACUUCAUAGAAAUAUAUUUAUAAUUUACUAAGUUUGGAGGACCUAUAUGAAAUUAACCCAAGAGAGAGAAAGGGACGCAGAUGGCGACUGUAGAGAGGAAAAGUGAGGAGAGGGGAAGUGGGUAACCUGGAGGAGGUGGGCAGCGGAGUAGACGGCACCGCAGGGAUUGUUAGGGUUGAUGAGAACGACGGCGACGGUGCGGGCGUCGGCGAGGGAUCGGAUCUGGCGGAGGUCGAGCUCCCAGCCGCGGCGGGGCAGGAGGUCGUAGUAGCGGGGCUCGACGCCGGACAGCUCGCAGGCGGACUCGUAGGGGGCGAACCCCGGCCGCGGCAGGAGCAGGUUGGCCCCCGGCCGGGCCAGCACCGUCACGCAUACCUGGAUCNUGUAGAGAGGAAAAGUGAGGAGAGGGGAAGUGGGUAACCUGGAGGAGGUGGGCAGCGGAGUAGACGGCACCGCAGGGAUUGUUAGGGUUGAUGAGGGGGCGAACCCCGGCCGCGGCAGGAGCAGGUUGGCCCCCGGCCGGGCCAGCACCGUCACGCAUACCUGGAUCGCCUGCGUCCCGCCCACCGUCAGGAACACGUCGCCCUCCCGAAUUCCCUGCUCCUGCGCCUGCUCUUGCUUCUGCUGCUUCUUGAUUCCUUUCCAUAGGUAAUCCGCUACCGCCCUGCCCUCCGUUUCAAAAAUAAAUAAAAAAUAAAUUAAAUUAACAAAUAAAAGGUUGAAUAUAUAUAAAAAUAUUAAGGUUAAGAAUACCGUUAUUUUUAGCUUCGGGUUGUUCGGGAAAAAAGAAAAAAAUAAUUCUAAAAAAGAAACUAAAUUAAUGAAGACCCCUAUGUAUGCAUAGGUACGUCCUGAUACGGAUACCUAAAAUUUUAUCCAAAUUCGAAUCCGAAUAAAAAAGAUUUAUUCAAUACUAGAUGAAUGUAGCUUCGGAUAUGAAUAUUAAAAGCAAAAAUCCAACAAAUAUGAAUUCGGAUAUGAAUUUUAACUAUAUCCGAUCCAAAUCCGAAUUUAUUUUACAUAAAAUGUAUAUAAAAUUUAAUAUUAUAUUUGAAUUUGUAUUUUAAAAAAUUUAAAUUUAAUGUAAUAUAUUUUGAAAUAUUGAAAAGACAAAUAAUUAUUUCGGAUUCGGAUUCGGAUUUGGGCUUCGAAUUUUUGGUCCGAUUCGGGUUUGGAUAUGAAUUUUUAAAAUCCGUCGGAUUCAGAUUCGAGGUCAGAUUUCAGGUUUGGAGUUGGGUUCGGGUUUGGGUUUUGAAAAUCCAUCUUGAAUCCGACUCAUUGACAUCCUUAACUAGACACCUCAACGCUUGUCGGAAAAAAUAGGUUCUACUAAUUGAUUUUAGUUUGAAGAAAUAAUUUUUGUUAGAAGUUGUAGAGCGUUUGGCUAAGCAUAACUUUAAUAGUGAAGCAAUUUUUUUUAAAAUGAUUUUAUAAAAUUACUUAGCAAAAAAAAUCGAUUUGUAAUUAAUAAUUUUGAAUUUUGAAUUUUAAAUUUUAAAUUUAAGAUCUCAAUAAGAAUUAAAAUUUUAAUAUUUGAAUUACAAAUCUAAAUUUAAAAUUAAAUUUUGAAAUUUGAAAUUUAACAUUUAAUAUUUCAAAUUUAAAUAUAGCCUAACACGUUAUUUAUGAAAUUGGAUUUGAAUUUUUAGAGGUAAUUAGUACUUAGUAGUGGCUUUUAAAGAGUUGCGAAAAGGUCUUGUAGUGGACCCAAUGUUAUAUCUUUAGGCCCUAUGGGCUUUGGGCUAAGCAUAAUCUUCCCUACAACUUUGUUUCAAUGUUUGAAUAAAUUUUCAAUAAUAACUAAUCCUUUAUGAGCAAUUUCUUUUGUGACGGUAAAGUAACUGCUUGAUUUUAGCUUGUUGGAAGACUUUGAAAACCAUAAUUUGAUAGGAUAAUAUAUUCCACCUAUCUUAUCCAAAAAAAAAAAAUUAAAAAAUUACAUACAGUAUGCCUUUCUAGGCAUAUAUAUAUAAUCAUACUCUCUAUCUACAACUACUACAAGUCUCUUACCAACCGUCCAUAACACAAGUGUUAGAGGGAUUGAUAGCUAGUACUUGAUGACUCCAGUUUAAAGCCUAGUUAGUUCAUUUUUUGCUAAAUUCAUCCCCCCACAAAAAAAAGUAUAUAGCAUAUCAGGAGUUAUAUAUAUAUAUAACAAGCCUCUUAAACAAAUAUAAAAGAUGUGUGAAUAUGUUAUGCCUGUUUGUAAACACAAAAUAAAAUAAACUACUUCAAAACGAAAUAUAUUAUUUUAUUAAAUUAUGAAUGUCAAGAUCUUUUGAAGAGCUAAAAAUCAAGUUCCUAUUUUGCAAUCGCAUAGGAAAUUCUUUGAAUAGCUUAAAUUAUUUCCAAAUAACUUAUUCUAAUGUCCAAACAAGGCAUGAAUGAAAUAUAUGUCUAAACAAAAAUUUAUUCAUCCAAAUAUAUAAUCUACAAGUUUCACAUGAUAUAUCUUAACACAGAGGUGCAGGAUAGACUACACUAUCUAGUAACUUUUUUUGUGUUGUAAAUUAGAAACUCCAAAUUAAAACUUUUGAUUUUAAGCCUCAAAAUUAUAUAAUUAUUUUUUGUAAUUUUUAUAGACUCAUUCCAAAGAUGUAUAGUAUCUAAAUUGUACUGUUCAGCACUAUGAUGAGCUAGCAAUCAUAUGCGGAGAUGAUCAAACAAUCGGAGAAUUUGCAUUGAAUGAUUCAAAUAGUGUCAAUCUUGGUAAAGAAGAGAACAAUGAUGAUGGUGAUGACGUUGGCCUGGAAGAUUUCUAUUUGGAUGAGAGCAAGCAUUUUUUAUGAACAAUCUCUUUUCAAUAACGUAAAAUGACAAAAUACAUGCCCGGUGACCAAGUCUAGCAUAGCUACAACCUCAAAAGCUAAGAAAUAAAAACAUUCAAAUUCAGAAUUUAUGUUAUUAGUGAAAAAGAUUGAAAAUUUAGCAGAUUCAAUAAAGGAUGCGUAGAUAAUGUACAGAAAGGAGAUAUGAAGCUCUAUAAAGUCGUGAAAUAUUUCCGAGCACGUAGGUACUGUUGCAUAUGAGUAUUUCCUAAGAAAUGAAAUAGUUGGAAAAUAUUUUUUAGUUCGUAGAUAGAGACGCGAGUUGAAUGGUUAAAACACUUUAAAGAUCAAUUUCUAAAAGUAAUUUUGAUCUAGUUGCUAAAUAUGAAAAACUAUUUAGUAUACUAUUUGGCUUUUGGAAUUGGAUGGUUUUGGAUAUAAUGGCGCAUAGUAUAGAUAAUACUACUUUAUAGUUUGCAAUUUUUUGUAUCUAUUUACUUUUGGGUUAUGGUUUCACUAGAAGCUGUCCAAAAAAUUGGAUAUUAAAUAGUUGAUAUUUUAUUUUGACAACUCACACAUUAUUUUGUUGAUAUAUUAUAUGCCGACUAUUUAUGUUUGUAAGUUUUUAAUAUUUAUUCUUUUCUUUUAAUAAUGUAUUACAUAUAUUCAUACUUUUCAUAUAUUAAAUUGAUAAAAUAGAUAACUUGUGAUAUGAGAAUUAGAAAGAUUAUAGAGAUCUUGUGUCCAUUAUUUGUCCAUCUUUAUGCUUUUCUAAAUUAUGCUUUAUGAACAAUUGGAGUAGUUGAACUUAAAAAGAAGCCAAAUAAAUGACUGUGACAAAAUUGGAAUGUUAUAAGCAAUAAGUCAAAUCAUCUUUAUAUGGUUAAUUGCUUCAUAUUAUUAUAGUUAUUAUUAUUAAAUAUGAAUAUUCAUUCUUACAUAUAUCAAGUUUUAAUAGGGGGUGAUCUCACCUCCAACAUGUAGGAAGUAUUUCUAUCUCAUUUUUCACUACCAAUAAAUAAUAUUAAUAUAUUAUUCAAAUUUUUUAAAAUAUUUUAUAUACCUUCUUUUUUUUUUAUGGUAAACUUACCAUCCUUGUGGUUUCGUACUUUCUCACUUUAGUAGCCUGUGAUUUAAGAUUACUAAUUUAGUAUUCUAUGGUUUUAUUUUUUUUCUUUUCGUCAGUCCUUCAGUUAAUUUUUCAUCAAAAAACUUUUGAUACCCCACUCAUAGUUUAUCUAGUUUAUCAAAUAUUCACUUUAGUACCUUUUAGUUUUAACUUCGUCACUGAUUUAACGGAAAAAAUUAGUAGAAUAAAUAACAAAAAGAGAAAAAUAAAACCACAGGGUACGAAAGUGAUACAUUUUAAACCACAGAAUACUAAAGUGAGAAAGUGCGAAACCACGAUAGCGGUAUUUGAAUUUUUUUCUUUUUUUAUUUCAAAUAUGAUUCUCGUAUAUUUCUUCGUGUGUUAGUACCAUUAAAUCAUCUCGGGUUAAAUUUCUUCCAAACUCAAAAGAGUCAAAAUAUCUCUUUGGUCUCUAACUUAAAGGAAAAUAAAAAAAGUUGGUGACGCUAAAAGAAUAUAUUUGAAAAGAUAAAAUAUCAAAAUACUUCUUUUGCCCGUAGCUUAAUAGUAAAUAAGAAAAGUUGGUGGCAGUAGUAGAAUAUAUUUAAAAAAACAAAAUAGUAAUUUUACAGAGAUAAUGAUUAUUCGUAAUAGUUCACUAACAAAAUUUAGCUUUAGGAUAUAAUUGAAAUAAUUUGAAACGUUAAAAAGAUAUUUUUAAUAUUAGCCUUCUAUGAACUAUAAAUAAAAAAGUCGAGAACUUUUCAGAGAUAUAUAAACAAUUGUUCCAAACAAAAAGAAAGCAAAAAAAAUAAAAUAAAGUUUUUUUUUCAUACAAAUCAAAAAUAAUAACUGUAAAAUCACUUUUACUUUCUUUCUAAUCAAAUGCUCCAAAUCCUAAAAUUAGUUUUCAGCUGAAAAGUCUUAUUUUUGAAAAUCAACGAGAAUAUUUUAGCCAAGCAGGACAAUAUUAAAUAUAUUUUAAAUUUUUAAAAAUUAUAUAAAAUAUUUAUAAUUACAAUUUUGAUCAUAUUCCCGUCACGCAGGCGCCACAUCAGCACCACGUAAGCUGGCUGGGAAGAAGUCUUAAGUUGAAUACGGUGAACCAUUUAUCGUAUUUUGAACACGGUGAAUAAUUCUCCGUAUUCCAUAUUUAUAUUUCUCUUAUAUAUUUUUUUUCAAUACUUAUAUUUUUUCACAAUACACGGUUAACCAUUCACCGUGUUUAGAUACGAUAACUAAAUUAUCGUAUUUAAUUUAUUCCAGCACCUCCAUCCUUGCUCGAGUGGCACUUACGUGCCGUCUGCGUGGCAGGAAUUAAAUCAAAAUAACAAUUAUAAAUUUAAAAAAAUUAUUUAUAAAAAUAAUUUUUUUGAAAAUGCCAAAUGCCAAAAAAAAAAAACCAUUAAAAAAAAAGUAGAAGUCAAAACAAAAACCAACUCCGUUCACCACGAAACUAGUGCAGAAGUUUCGGGAAAGGAAUACAAACCACACACGUAAUUUUCAAAUAGUUGAAAAAAAGAAACAAAACUGUCGCGGUUCGGACUCACACCCCCAGCGUUGUUUCUCUCUGCUGCGGUGUCGACACAGAUUAUUCGAAGGUCGCGUUCGAAAAACAAACAAAAAAUAAAUAGAGGAAAAAAAAAAAAAAAAAAAACUAAAUAUCAAACAGGGCUGAUUUGCUGCCACGUGGACGAGAUCAGAUCCGACCAAAUCUCGCCGUGGGCCCACCAUCUGGUAUAUUACACCUAACGUUUGUACGGCCACAUCACGGAUCCGAAUGGUACUAAAAUUUCGCUUCAUCUCUGAAUUCACCGUGGAUUAAAAAAUAUAUUCUAUAAUAAUAAUUUAUGCCGCCGCAUAACCUAAAUACUUUAUUUUACAAAUUUAUAAUAUUAUUAUUAAAUAUUUUAUAAAAUAUAACUUAAUAAUAUUUUUAAUAAUAAUAAAUAAUAUUACCAAACUAUAUAUAUAAUUAACAACAUCAAUUAUAAGAAUCAAAAACAACGAUCACCAUUCAAGCAAAAUUCAAAAGUUUUAAAUAUAUAAGAAAUGAUAGCACCAAUUUAUUUGUAUUUUGAACUUUUCUGUAAAUAUAUUAUUUUUAGAGGUAUUUUUUAAAAAUAUAAAUAAUUUUCGGAAUAGAUUCGGAACGGAUUCUGAGCGGAUUAAAAUUUUUCUCAUUUCCUCCCCCCAAAUUUGGCACGGAUCAUAAAAAUCACCCAUUUCCUACUUCGAAUUCGUUUAUUUUUUCUUUUUAUUUACUGCCUCAUUCGGAACGGAUCAGGACAGGAGUUCCACCAACCCGGAUCCGUUUGCAUUCGGAGCUGUAAACCCAAUUGGUUUGGCAAACUCACUACAAAGUAACCAAUCUUUGGAGAAAAACUAUUUAUGACCACUAAUAAAGCAACUAUUUUGUACAAAUAUUUUGCAUUUAUCAUAGUAUUAUAUUUAUUUUAAAUUAUUGUUAUUGUAUUUAGUCAGAAUUUCUAAAACGGCAAAAAAAAAAAUGUUAUUGUAUUUUAAAUUAUUGUUAUUGUAUUUAAUCUUCGAGAAUCCUUUAAAACGGCAAAAAAAAAAUGCUUUGUUUCAAUAGCAAUAUUUAAAUUUAGCCAUUAAAAUGUAUAGAUGACUUUAGUGGUAACUUAUUUUCUGAUAAAUAUACAGCAAAAUAAUUUUCGCCACAAAAAUAAAAGAAAAAUUGUGACGAACUUUUAUAUUUUUUAGCUAUUUUAUUCACUAUAAAAAAUCAGUUUUCUUAUAGUGAACUUAUAAAAGAAAAUUUUAAUUAAUUUCACUUUAGUUUAGCAUUUUCUUAUUUCGUUGCCUUAUAAUUUGGAAAACAAUAUAUUACCAUUAUGUGAUCUUGGUUUUAUUUUAUCGUAAAAUUUAGACACAAAAUAUAAACUAAAGAGCAAUAAAGUGAAAGUUAUAUAGAUUAACAACAUAAUAUAUCUGAUCACUCUAUGAUUCAUAAAGAUUAGCACUUCAUUACAUUUUCUUAUGUUGUCUUGCUAUUUUAUUUAAUGAUAAAUUUUUAAAGGAGCCCAAAAAGAAUUGUAAAAGAUUAAAUAAAACUUUUCUUUUUUGAGAGAGAGAGAGAAAACGAUGGAACUUGAGUGGGGCACAAUUUAUAUGCAUUUAAGAGGAUUCUUGUACACAACAAUAUUUUAAACCCCACACUCUGGCCUAACUAUCUAAAGGAGUUCUAGAGGGUAUCGAGAUGGUCCCAAAAUCCAAUUUUGGAGAGGGUGGGUACUGAUGCACUUCUGGUCGACUUAACUAAAGUCUAAAAAUAGAGAUAUGCUAUUCAUACAUUGCAUCUGAGAUAUAUGAUGGACACAAUUUCUAUCCAAUAGAAACAAAUCUUCGCUAGUCACACGACAAGUAAAGCAACAUUUAUCUUGUCUUAUAUAUAGAGUUCGGCUACUAUAUUAUCGAUAGUAUCAAACUCUAAAUACUAUCGAAUAUUCUGUCGUUGGAUCUAUCCAUUGAUUAUUUUCAUCCGUUAGAUUAUAUUAUUCAACUAACCGGGGACCACUGUCAUCCUAACUGUACAUCCCUUAAUCCAACGGUCAAAAUCUCGAUAGCACCAAACACUUGAUACUAUCGAUAGUAUAGUAACAUAAUUCCUUAUAUAUAUAUAUAUAUAUAUAUAUAUAUAUAUAUAUAUAUAUAUAGAGAGAGAGAGAGAGAGAGAGAGAGAGAGAGAGAGAGAGAGAGAGAGAGAAAGAGAGAGAGAGAGAGAGAGAGAGUUGGACUGGGCUACUAUUAGUAGCAAAAUCCCAUUGUUGCUACCAGUUUUUUAGCCUUUGGAUCAACUCUUUUCAUUAUUUCUAACCAUUGGAUUAAAUACUAUAACCCAGUGGGGACCACUCAACCCUAGGGGGACCACUUAACUCUAACUGACUAAUAUCAUUCUGACCCUACAAUUUUUCAUCCAAGGAUUAAAAACUUGAUAGCAAAAAGAGCGUUUUACUAUUAAUAGUAUUCCAGCCUAAUUCUAUAUAUAUAUAUAUAUAUAAUUGGGCUCUUAUGCUUUUAAAAGUACCAAGUUAUUGGUGCUUGUAGAUUUUUGACCAUUGGAUUAAGAGAUGUGCGGUUAGGAUGAUGUGGGACCCCUAGGGUUAAGUGGAUGUGGUUGGUUCAAUAGUAUAAUCUAACGGAUGGAAAUGAUCAAAAGGGUAGAUCUAACGGUAAAAAAUUUACAAGCAUCAAGUGCUUGGUGCUUUUACAAGCGCCUAUGGUAGUCCAGCUACUAUAUUCUUAUAAGUACAAUCGCAUUUGCACUCAUAAGUCAUUUUCGAUGAUAAAGCUUCUGAAUCAACAAUUCAUACCGUUAAACAUUAUUUAGAUCAUUUGAAAUUUCUAGAAAUCAAAUUUCAUAAUUUUUCGAUAUUAUUUACCUUACAAUUAAAAGAUCUUAAAAUUGAUAAUUUUUAACUGCAUGUAUGAGAUACUGCUAAUUUAACAGUAUAAAAAAAUCAAAAUUGGUUGAACUUUUCAUAGAAAUUCUAUUCAUUAUUUAGAUAAAAAUCAAUAAUUUUGAUCUUAAAUUGAAAAACCUGAUCUUUUAUUUUUAGGAGAUUCUUCGAUUUUUAUCGUUCAUUUUUCUACCUGCUUGAUUGAUUUUAUUAUAAUUUCAAAUAUUUACAAAAUUUAUUUUCUAUAAAUUUCAAAUACUCUACAUCAUAUUUAAAAAUGUGGAUCAUCGAUUUAGAAGCUCCAUCAUCAAAAAUGUUUAUGAGUAUGAAAGGUUCUACAAUCAUAAUGACAGAAAACUUACAAGCGUUAGGGCGUGGUGCUUUUAAAAGCACUAUAGUCGGCUUCUAUAUUUUUAAAAAUACUAAGUCAUUGAUGCUUGUAGAUUUUCGGCCUUUAGAUUAAAUGAUAUGUGGUUAGGAUGAUAGUAGUCCCCUGUGGUUGAGUGGGUAGUUGGUUGAAUUGUAUGAUCUAACGGGUGAAAAUAAUCAAAGGGGUAGAUCUAACGAUAGAAAACUUAUAAAAACUAGUACUUGAUGUAUUUAAAAGCACUGUAGUCGGACAAAUAUAGAAUUGAGCUCUUAUACUUCUAAAAGUACCAAGUUAUUAGUACUUGUAGGUUUUCGGCUCUUAGAUUAAGGGAUGUGCGGUUAGGAUAAUUAAUAGUGGUCCCCUAUGAUGGAGUGAGUGGUUUGUUGAAUAGUAUGAUUUAACGGAUAAAAAUAAUCAAAGAAAUAGAUCUAACGACAGAAAACUUAUACGCACUAAUGCUUGGUGCUUUUAAAAGCAUCAUAGUCGGACUCAUAUAGAAUUGAGCUCCUAUACUUUUAAAAGUACCAAGUCAUUGGUGCUUGUAGGUUUUCGGCCUUUAGAUUAAAGGAUGUGUAGUUAGGAUGAUAACGGUCCCCUUUGGUCGAGUGAGUGGUUGGUUGAAUAGUAUGAUCUAACGGAUGAAAAUAAUCAAAGAGGUAGAUCUAACAACAGAAAGUUACAAUACUAGUGUUUGGUGCUUUUAAAAGCACCAUAGUCGGACUCUAUUGGCUACGUUUGGUUCGGGUAUAAAUAAGAACUGUUUAUUCUAGACAUAGGUAGAAGUACAGAUAUAAGUAGGAACUAGACCAAUUUUGCAUUUGGAUAAAAAUUGGGUUGUUUGUAGGAAUAAGGUAAAUAGUGUUUGGAUGGUUAGAUUGUAACAAAGGGAAUAAGAGUCAUAAUUUUAAAUUAAAAUUAUUUUAUCUAAUUAAUUAAUAUCAAAAUAUUACUUAAUAAUAAUAAAUUAAUAUUAAUAAUUAUAAAUAGUAAAUUAUUAAUAAUUAAUAAUGAUAAAUUAAUUAAUUAAUAAUAAAUUAUUAAUAAUAAAUUAAUUAGAUACUAUAAUAUAAAUAAUAAAUUAAUAAUAAUUUUAAAUAAUAAAUUAUUAACAAUUAUAAAUAAAUAAAUAAAUAAUAAUAAAAUAAAUAAUAAAUUAUUAAUAAUUAUAAAUAAUAAAUUAUUACUAAUAAUAAAUUAUAAAUUAAUUAAUUAAUAAUAAAAUUAUUUAUCAAUUAGUUAUUAAUAAUUAUGAAGAAUAAUAAAUUAAUUUAUAAUAAUAAACUAUUAAUAAUUAUAAAUUACAAAUUAAUUAAUAUUAAAUUAAGUAAUUAAAUAAUUAUUAAUAAUUAUAAACAAUAAUAAAUUAAAUAAAUUAAUUAAAGUAAAUUAAAUAAUUAAUGAAAUAAUAAAUUAAUUAAUUAAGAAUAAAUUAAUGAUAAAUUAGUUAAUUAUAAAUUAAUAAAUUAAUUAUUAAUUAAUUAAUAAUUAAUUAAUUAAUAAAUAAAUAAAUAAAGUAAUUAUUAACAAUUAUAAAUAAUAAUAAUUUAAUUAAUAAUUAUAAAUAAUAAAUUAAUAAAUUAUUUUAGUAUUUAAGUAAUAAAUAAUGAUUUAAAUAUAUUAAUUAAAUUAAUUAAUUAUUUAAUACCAUAAUUAAAAUUAUUUUUAGACUUUAAUUAACCUUAUUCUCACAUGGGAACAAGCUUGUUCCAGGAAAAAAAUGGAACAACAGUUGCAGCCUUAUACCGGCUUAUUCCAGAAAUCCGAAAACUACUGUUCUCGAGUACUAAAUACAGCGUUUGGAAACAAAAUGGAGAACAAGAGCCUUGUUCACGUGUUCCCGAACCAAACGCUACCAUAUGUAUAUCCCUUUAACUUUACUCUCUUUCAAUAGGCAUCUAAAUUUUAAAUUUUAGCAGCAAAACUACUUAAUCGAUAUCAAAUAAUUUUCUAAGCUCUUCUCUUCAAUC